CAACCCUCGCCCCCCUAGGCCCCGCGCCCAGGGGAGCGGCGUUGGGGAUCGGCGCCCCUCUCCAGGGGCCGCCGUCCCCCAAAUCCAGUGGCGACCGCGCUGUGGCCUCCCCCGCGUAGUAGAAACACCUCGCGGGCGGACAGCGGUGCGGCCCGCCGUAAAACCCCCAACUCUUCAA
rnacentral:misc_RNA from 1 species